rnacentral:tRNA from 1 species
GCCGACAUAGCUCAAUUGGUAGAGCAACUGAUUUGUAAUCAGUAGGUUACGGGUUCAAUUCCUGUUGUCGGCACCA